CCCGCUGAACUUAACCAUAUCAAUAACCGAAGAAA
rnacentral:rRNA from 1 species